rnacentral:rRNA from 1 species
CAAUAGCGUAUAUUAAAGUUGUUGCAGUUAAAAGGCUCGUAGUUGGAUUUCGGGGCAGCCUGGCUGGUCCGCCGCAAGGCGAGUACUGGUCAGCCGCCCUUCCUCUCGAAAGCCCCGACUGCUCUUCGUUGCAGUGGUCGGGUAGUUCGGGACGUUUACUUUGAAAAAAUUAGAGUGUUCAAGGCAGGCCUACGCCUGAAUACAUUAGCAUGGAAUAAUGGAAGAGGACCUCGGUCCUAUUUUGUUGGUUUCCAGGGCCGAAGUAAUGAUUAAGAGGGACAGUUGGGGGCAUUCGUAUUUAAUUGUCAGAGGUGAAAUUCUCGGAUUUAUGAAAGACGAACAACUGCGAAAGCAUUUGCCAAGGAUGUUUUCAUUAA